AGAGUUGUAUCCUGGCUCAGAACGAACGCUGGCGGCAUGCCUAACACAUGCAAGUCGAACGGUGUUCCCGCUUCGGUGGGGGCAUAGUGGCGCACGGGUGAGUAACGCGUGGGAACCUGCCCCGUGGUACGGAACAACUCCGGGAAACUGGAGCUAAUACCGUAUGUGUCCUGCGGGACAAAGAUUUUAUCGCCAUGGGAGGGGCCCGCGUAGGAUUAGCUUGUUGGCGGGGUAACGGCCCACCAAGGCAACGAUCCUUAGCUGGUCUGAGAGGAUGAUCAGCCACACUGGGACUGAGACACGGCCCAGACUCCUACGGGAGGCAGCAGUGGGGAAUAUUGGACAAUGGGCGCAAGCCUGAUCCAGCAAUGCCGCGUGAGUGAUGAAGGCCUUCGGGUUGUAAAGCUCUUUCGCACGCGACGAUGAUGACGGUAGCGUGAGAAGAAGCCCCGGCUAACUUCGUGCCAGCAGCCGCGGUAAUACGAAGGGGGCUAGCGUUGUUCGGAAUUACUGGGCGUAAAGGGCGCGUAGGCGGUCCCUCAAGUCAGGCGUGAAAGCCCCGGGCUCAACCUGGGAACCGCGCUUGAGACUGGUGGGCUAGAGUUCGGGAGAGGAUGGUGGAAUUCCCAGUGUAGAGGUGAAAUUCGUAGAUAUUGGGAAGAACACCGAUGGCGAAGGCAGCCAUCUGGACCGACACUGACGCUGAGGCGCGAAAGCGUGGGGAGCAAACAGGAUUAGAUACCCUGGUAGUCCACGCCGUAAACGAUGAGUGCUAGACGUCGGGGCUCUUAGAGCUUCGGUGUCGCAGCUAACGCAUUAAGCACUCCGCCUGGGGGAGUACGGCCGCAAAGGUUUAAAACUCAAAGGNAAUUNGACGGGGGNCCCGCACAAGCGGUGGAAGCAUGUGGNUUUAAUUCCAAGCAACGCGCAAAAACCUUUACCAGCCCCUUNAAAAUGGGCCGCUCCCGGGUGGGGGAANA
rnacentral:rRNA from 1 species